AAGAAUUAGGUCAAACACGUAGUGGGGGGGUUUGAAAGUGUUUGAGAUGAGAAUUAAACUAAAUUAAAACUGGAAAUUAAAUUAAACCAAACAUAAUUGAAAACAUUAAAAUAAAUGGACAAAGCAUGAAGACCGAACGGUCCUAUAGGUGACCGAACAGUUCUACAUUGAGACCGAACGAUUUCUAAAAGAAGUGAAAAGAUUAGAGAUGCAGGAAGAUAAAAAGACCGAACAAAAUAAAUAGCAUAGGAAAUGGAAAAAGUAAACAUAACAGAAAACACUAAAAUAAAAUAUUCAAUACGGCGUGAACAAAUUGUAAUGCAUAAAAUAAAUAAGUAAAGACAUUCAAUGCUUAAUUAUUUGGACCAAUUACGAUGCAACAGUUAAGCUAUAAACUAAAGGCUCAUUNCAUUAAANAAAGNAAAAAAANANAANANAA
rnacentral:lncRNA from 1 species